rnacentral:rRNA from 1 species
AACGCUAGCUACAGGCUUAACACAUGCAAGUCGAGGGGCAGCAUUUCAGUUUGCUUGCAAACUGGAGAUGGCGACCGGCGCACGGGUGAGUAACACGUAUCCAACCUGCCGAUAACUCGGGGAUAGCCUUUCGAAAGAAAGAUUAAUACCCGAUGGUAUAAUCAGACCGCAUGGUUUGAUUAUUAAAGAAUUUCGGUUAUCGAUGGGGAUGCGUUCCAUUAGGCAGUUGGUGAGGUAACGGCUCACCAAACCUUCGAUGGAUAGGGGUUCUGAGAGGAAGGUCCCCCACAUUGGAACUGAGACACGGUCCAAACUCCUACGGGAGGCAGCAGUGAGGAAUAUUGGUCAAUGGGCGCAGGCCUGAACCAGCCAAGUAGCGUGAAGGAUGACUGCCCUAUGGGUUGUAAACUUCUUUUAUAUGGGAAUAAAGUUUUCCACGUGUGGAAUUUUGUAUGUACCAUAUGAAUAAGGAUCGGCUAACUCCGUGCCAGCAGCCGCGGUAAUACAGAGGAUCCGAGCGUUAUCCGGAUUUAUUGGGUUUAAAGGGAGCGUAGGUGGACAGUUAAGUCAGUUGUGAAAGUUUGCGGCUCAACCGUAAAAUUGCAGUUGAUACUGGCUGUCUUGAGUACAGUAGAGGUGGGCGGAAUUCGUGGUGUAGCGGUGAAAUGCUUAGAUAUCACGAAGAACUCCGAUUG